GAGCCUUUAAAUGCUGACUAUGCCCGGGUAGCUGACCUCAAGAAGAAGUAGCAGCCUCAGGACUCAAACCUGAGAUCAAAAGGGAGAAAUGCCCUUCCGUCCCAGGUCCUGACCAUCAUGCCACCCCUUGGGGUUUAUUAAGUUGUAGGUGAGAGAGGCUAUUAAAACGAACUUUCUGUGACGAACCUGGAGGCAGAGGUGGAGGAAGAAUUGCUGGCAUAGGCGGUGGUCUCUCUGCAUGAAGCAUUCGGUAAAAUGGGUAAAUUUCAUACCUGAUUCUACAGCUAGGAAGUAUAACUCUUGCCCCUUGGAGUCCACUACAACAUUCCGGCAGUGACGAUAUCGCAUCCCGUAUACAUAUGCUGCAAUCAGAACUAGAUACGUCUGGCAUGCACUGCUCAAGGGUGUAGAGUAUUUGAGACCCCAUAAAAUUAGCUUCUUUAGUUGCGAACUUUUUCGCACCGGUGCUAACAUUCGCAACCUGGCUUACCGAGUCGUUCAUUGUCAGCAUCAAUAACUGGUUAAACUGAUUUGAAUCUGCAGAAAUAUUUUUAUGGCUAGGAACGUAAAAUCCAGACAACGUGUUCAUGGUGGAGAAGAAAUAUUGGUCUGAGUAGCGUAACAUGCACUCCUCGUACCAGAUCACGGCCGUUUUUUGUAUGGGACAGUAUUGAUUAAU